UUGUAGUCCAAAACAUAUGGUCAACCAGAGGUUCCCCACUCCUGUUUUACAAGCAGGCCAUGAGAAAUAAUCAGAAAGAAACACCCUCACUUUCUCAAGGGAUGAGGAAUUUUGGGGAAUAUGGGUGGGGUUUGGCACAGUGCUACCUUUAUUAUAGAUAAUGCCUUUAUAGUAAAAAGGGACACCUGACCAUUAGGUCCAGUCGUGACCGACUCUGGGGUUGUGGCGCUCAUCUCGCUUUAUUGGCUGAAGGAGCCGGCGUACAGCUUCUGGGUCAUGUGGCCAGCAUGACUAAGUCACUUCUGGCAAACCAGAGCAGCUCACGGAAACGCCGUUUACCUUCCCGUCAGAGUGGUACCUAUUUAUCUACUUGCACUUGGACGUGCUUUCGAACUGCUAGGUUGGCAGGAGCUGGGACUGAGCAAUGGGAGCUCACCCCGCCGUGGGGAUUCGAACCGCCAACCUUUUGAUCGGCAAGUCCUAGGCUCUGUGGUUUAACCCACAGCGCCACCCGUGUCCCUGCCUUUAUAGUACAGGACAAGAAUCAUCAGUUUUGAAACCUAACUUGGAUACAAAGGAAGCUGCUUAUCCCAAGUCAGACCAUUGAUCCAUCUAGUAAGCAUAGUCGUAGGCAGCAUUCAAGUGACAGCUUAUUCCAUUUUCAAAAUAUUCUCUUAAUCAUUAAGUUCCUCAUUAUAUGUGAGCUUUCACGUGAUAUAAAAGACAUCUCUGGAACUAUAGGAAUUAAAGCAGAGAGAUGCAGGGAUUAUAGAGUCCCAUCUACAAAUGUCUGCAGUUGUUUUGCCUCAACCCUCUUGAUCAUCUUCUCCAGAAGUUGCAGCAAGCCACCGAUAUAUACAGUAAACAUACAUACACAACCAAUUUGUUUAUAUUUUAAAUUUAAUAUAAAUGUCUUGUUUUGGAACAAAUUAAGUUUGAAGUGUGCUUUUGGGUGAAAUAUUAGGGAUGUAGCUCCCAGAGAUCCAUUGCAUGAGGAAUUUGGCUCUUCAGCUAUAGAAAUUUGACAUUCCUGAGUCAGCAGGCUCCUUGUAAAAAUCCAUCGUAUAGAGGUCAGUUCUUCAUAACCACCAUUUCUCCUCCAGUUAUGGUCCACCUUGAUGCUAAAGUGCAGCCUCCCCCAACCUGGUGCCUUCCAGAUUGGACUGCCCAUCAUGAGCUAACUAAAGUUGAUGGCAAUUUCAGUCUCAAACAUCUGGAUGGCACUAGGUUAGGAAAGGCUCUUAUAGAAGAUGAAUAACAGAAGCAGAGGGUGAGCAAAGAAACCACCCUGCUAUUGAUACACCAGCAUACAAAUCCACUACUUGGCCCUGUUUAAAUGUACAUACCAAUGUUAUUUGGACUUCUGGAGGUAAUCUAAACAAAAUUAUUUGCACUCAUAAUUUAAUGUUUGGAUUUUGCUGUCCAUGUGUUAAUCAGAAAAAUCCACCUGUACCUUCCAAAAAUUUCCAUUUCUGGAUCCUAUGAUGUCAAAGACACAUUGCAGAGAAUGGGUGUGACUGAUGUCUUUUGUGACGAGAAUGCUGACCUGUCUGGAAUUACCGGGGAACCCAAUCUGAAAGUUUCCAAAGUAAGUAUGUGAGGGGGUCUUUAGAAAAGCAUUUCAUGAGAGAUGAUCUGGUUGUGGGCAUUAUUAUUGUGACUACUAUUAUUUGUGCCCUUUCACUCGGCAUGUGCAUUAGGAUGAACGCCAAGGUGGAGGUCGCUUGUCAAAUUCAUAUACCCAAGGUGUUCAGAGCAAAGGGGGAUGAUUGUUUCCAAUCUUUGUCUCCACCGCCUCAGGCAAUGCAUGCAAACAUGCCCAGGAAUAAGGAGAGCUUUCAUCCCUCCUGCAUUAGGUAGCUUCCAUGCCCAGACUAUACUUUGUUUUGGUUAAUGUGGAUUCCUUAUUCUGCAGGUCUUCAGAAUCAUUAUAUUUUUAAAAAAUAAAUAUACCCUUUCUUCCAUACAUUUGUGUCUUGAGUCAUCUUGUGGAUGUGAUGGCAAUGCAUUAUUCUCAAUCUAUGUCGCCAAGACAUUUGGAAUACUACAUACAAUUCAAAUCACCACACCUUAAACAGAACACUGUAGAGUAGGAAAUAAUUUGGAAAAGGCCAUCUGAAACAAUUAUAGGGUAAAGCAACGGCCUAUAGAAUUGUAGAACUGUAGAGUUGUAGAAUUGUGGAGUUGGAAGGGACCGUCAGGAUCAUCUUGUCCAACCAAAUGCAAUGCAGCUGUCGCAUGUGGGGAUCGAACCUGCAAGCUUGGCAUUAUCAGCACCAGGCUCUAACCAACUGAGCCAUAGGAGAGCUUACAAUGUAGAAGUAGGGACAAUGAAAGUAAAUAAAUAAGAGGUGACAUGAUAGUUCAGAAAAGGGCGUCUAAAAGGAUUAUGGGGGUAGAGGAACUCCCUGUUUAUUUGCAGGGGCAGGGAGAGUGGAGGCAAAUAAGGGGCAUGAUAGAGGUGGAGAAGGGGGAAAGAGGGAAGAUCUUACCAUUCAUAAUACUAGAACCCAGAGUCAGCUGGAACUUUUGGAUAUUUACAUGGAAGACAGAGGUAGUUACCCAUCCAGCACACAUGUUAUGGUAGGCUUUCCUCCAUCACAUAUGAAAACAAGUAAUGUGUCACUAUUUCCCUCCAGGCCAUUCACAAGGCUGUCGUGGACAUUCAUGAGGGUGGCACUGAAGCCACCGGAGUCACAGUUAUAGAGUUUUCACCACAGUUUGAAGGUUUUGCUCCUAAUCCUAUCUUUAAGAUCAACAGACCCUACCUGUUUCUAAUUAUGGAAAAGAAAACACACAGUGCCCUCUUCUUAGGGAAAAUUGUGAACCCAACUGAAAAAUGAGUUUGUGAUCAGAUCAAAAUUUCCCAUUGCAAUUUCCCCUGAUCUUUAAAACAUGGAUUUCCUCACUUUGUACUAGCCUAACCCCAGUAGUGUUAUCCAAUUUGCUUUGAAAUUAAAUAAGGCAAUGAGCACAAAUCACUGCUGGAAUAAAAUGAUUUGAAAAUAU